AUUGAACGCUGGCGGCAGGCCUAACACAUGCAAGUCGAACGAGUGGCGGACGGGUGAGUAAUGACUGGGAAACUGCCUGGUGGAGGGGGAUAACUACUGGAAACGGUAGCUAAUACCGCAUACCAUCAGAUGUGCCCAGAUGGGAUGGCUUGUUGGUGGGGUAACGGCUAAUCAAGGCGACGAUCCCUAGCUGGUCUGCGAGGAUGACCAGCCACCCUGGACCUGUGACACGGUCCAGACUCCUCCGGGAGGCAGCAGUGGGGAAUAUUGCACAAUGGGCGCAAGCCUGCUGCGUCCAUGCCACGUGUAUGAAGAAGGCCUUCGGGUUGUAAAGUACUUUCAGCGGGUAGGCGUUACCCGCAGAAGAAGCACCGGCUAACUCCGUGCCAGCAGCCGCGGUAAUAC
rnacentral:rRNA from 1 species